CUCAGCUCCUUCACGACAGCAUUGUGAGACAAGACCGCAGCGUGCAGCGGAGUAAAACCUUCAGACAGGGAACAGCGUCCCUUCCUGGAGGUGGAGCGGGAUGAACACAGGGGGCGGCAGUGGCAUCCCUCUGCUCAGUAAACCACCAGGUGGAGGGGGGGGGGGACACCCACCUCUACGCCGAACACGCCCUGCAGCAGCCUGCCCCGUCCUGCUUCCUUUGUUGGCACCCCAAGCAGCUUGAAGGUAAAGUCUUUAUUUAUUUUAAUUAUGUUUUGGUGGCAUGAUGUUUUUGAGUUGCCCGUCCCAAUUUUAUGCAUGAGAUAUCUCGGGAAGGAAAUAUGUUCAAUUUGUGAAAAACUCCACAAGGACUCAACUAUAAACUGUAAUAGCUAAGUAUGUUGUUGAAAAAAGCAGUUUUAUAUUAUAUUAUCCAAAAUGGCAUAAAAAAGUCAAAAUCUGACCGCUGUUAAAAAUGGCUAAAAAUGAUAUAGAAUACUUCCUAGAGACGUGUGAUA